GACGAACCGAGCGAACGUUGUUCGGAAUCACUGGGCUUAAAGGGCGCGUAGGCGGGUGCUCAAGUCUGUGGUGAAAUCCUCCGGCUCAACCGGAGAACUGCCAUGGAUACUGGGUGCCUCGAGGGUGGUAGGGGUAUGCGGAACUAUCGGUGGAGCGGUGAAAUGCGUUGAUAUCGAUAGGAACUCCGGUGGCGAAGGCGGCAUACUGGACCAACAUCUGACGCUGAGGCGCGAAAGCGUGGGGAGCAAACAGG
rnacentral:rRNA from 1 species